rnacentral:rRNA from 1 species
UACAGAGGGUGCGAGCGUUAAUCGGAAUAACUGGGCGUAAAGGGCGCGUAGGCGGUUGAUUAAGUGGUAGGUGAAAGCCCCGGGCUUAACCUGGGAAGUGCCUAUCAAACUGAUUAACUGGAGUGCAGGAGAGGGCGGUAGAAUUUCCGGUGUAGCGGUGAAAUGCGUAGAGAUCGGAAGGAAUGCCGGUGGCGAAGGCGACUGCCUGGCCUGACACUGACGCUGAGGCGCGAGAGCGUGGGGAGCGAACAGG